rnacentral:rRNA from 1 species
GAUGAACGCUAGCUACAGGCUUAACACAUGCAAGUCGCGGGGCAGCAUGGGGGUUGCUUGCAAUCCCCGAUGGCGACCGGCGCACGGGUGAGUAACGCGUAUCCAACCUGCCCUUCACCACGGGAUAACCCGGCGAAAGUCGGACUAAUACCGUAUGUUGUCCAUUGACGGCAUCCGAUUUGGACGAAAGGUUUGGCGGUGAAGGAUGGGGAUGCGUCCGAUUAGCUGGACGGCGGGGUGACGGCCCACCGUGGCGACGAUCGGUAGGGGUUCUGAGAGGAAGGUCCCCCACACUGGAACUUAGACACGGUCCAGACUCCUACGGGAGGCAGCAGUGAGGAAUAUUGGUCAAUGGGCGUAAGCCUGAACCAGCCAAGUAGCGUGCAGGAUGACGGCCCUAUGGGUUGUAAACUGCUUUUAUGCGGGGAUAAAGUGGCCCACGUGUGGGUUUUUGCAGGUACCGCAUGAAUAAGGACCGGCUAAUUCCGUG